rnacentral:rRNA from 1 species
AACGAACGCUGGCGGCAUGCCUAACACAUGCAAGUCGAACGAGACCUUCGGGUCUAGUGGCGCACGGGUGCGUAACGCGUGGGAACCUGCCCUUAGGUUCGGAAUAACUCCCCGAAAGGGGUGCUAAUACCGGAUAAUGUCUUCGGUCCAUAGAUUUAUCGCCUUUGGAUGGGCCUGCGUUGGAUUAGCUAGUUGGUAGGGUAAAAGCCUACCAAGGCGACGAUCCAUAGCUGGUCUGAGAGGAUGAUCAGCCACACUGGGACUGAGACACGGCCCAGACUCCUGCGGGAGGCAGCAGUGGGUAAUAUUGGACAAUGGGCUAAAGCCUGAUCCAGCAAUGCCGCGUGAGUGAUGAAGGCCGGAGGGUUGUAAAGCUCUUUUACCCGGGAUGAUAAUGACAGUACCGGGAGAAUAAGCUCCGGCUAACUCCGUG